AACGCAACGCGAGCAGAACCGGAAGAGGCUUUGGCACCACUUCCGGAUUACGGGUCUCCGCCCCUUCGUUCCCGGAAGUGGAGAGGAGAGGCGUUGCCAUGGCGGCGACCCUGGGGCAGGUGCUGGCUCUGGUGCUGGUGGCCGCUCUGUGGGGUGGCACACAGCCGCUGCUGAAGCGGGCCUCCUCGCACCUGCAGCAGGUUCAUGAGCGGACCUGGGCCCGGCAGUUACUGCAGGAGACGAAGACCCUCUUCUUGAAUACUGAGUACCUGCUGCCCUUUUCCCUCAACCAGUGUGGCUCCCUUCUCUACUACCUCACCUUGGCAUCAACAGAUCUGACCCUAGCUGUGCCCAUCAGUAACUCUCUGGCCAUCAUCUUUACACUGAUUGUUGGGAAGGUCCUUGGAGAAGAUAUUGGUGGAAAACCACACUUUCUGCUGUCAUGUCAGGCCCCAGGCCCCAGGCCUGCCAUUGUUCCUGUGCCUGACCCAGACUAUCCCAGCAGCUGGUUGGUGGACCGCAGAACUCCAGCCGCAAGAAGAGAGCCAGCUACAGUCUUUGAGCCAGAAAUGCAAACAGGAGGGCUCCAGGGCUCAGCCUUGGCUGGCUGAGGAGGGAACUGAGGGGAAGGUGCAUAAGAACAGCAGACGUUGGGGAGAGGAGUUUGCUGUUAGCCCUGCCUGUCCCUCCUGUGAGGUGGGUGCCGGCCCCUCUCAAACCGAUCGACAUCUAUGGGCCCCCGCACUGCCAGACCCCAACGUAUGGAGCAAUGCCAGGUCCCUGUGAAGAGGCAAGGGACUGGCCGUGCACACGGGGGAGUAGGAGACAGUCGUCCUGAAGUCCAGACCAGCUCUGAACCUGGGCAUUCUGCCCCCAUGGAACUCCCUCAGCAUAGCAGGGACAAUCCUACGUCACUGUUAGAGGCUGGCAGAGAAGGCCUUGGAUUCUUGGGUCCCCUCAAGAGAGUGGAGAGCAUGCUGAAAAGCUUGCUGGGGGCUGGCAUAAA